UACGUAGGGUGCGAGCGUUAAUCGGAAUUACUGGGCGUAAAUCGUGCGCAGGCGGCUUUGUAAGACAGGCGUGAAAUCCCCGGGCUCAACCUGGGAAUUGCGCUUGUGACUGCAAAGCUGGAGUGCGGCAGAGGGGGAUGGAAUUCCGCGUGUAGCAGUGAAAUGCGUAGAUAUGCGGAGGAACACCGAUGGCGAAGGCAAUCCCCUGGGCCUGCACUGACGCUCAUGCACGAAAGCGUGGGGAGCAAACAGG
rnacentral:rRNA from 1 species